rnacentral:rRNA from 1 species
UCCGUAGGUGAACCUGCGGAGGGAUCAUUACAAGUGACCCCGGUCUAACCACCGGGAUGUUCAUAACCCUUUGUUGUCCGACUCUGUUGCCUCCGGGGCGACCCUGCCUUCGGGCGGGGGCUCCGGGUGGACACUUCAAACUCUUGCGUAACUUUGCAGUCUGAGUAAACUUAAUUAAUAAAUUAAAACUUUUAACAACGGAUCUCUUGGUUCUGGCAUCGAUGAAGAACGCAGCGAAAUGCGAUAAGUAAUGUGAAUUGCAGAAUUCAGUGAAUCAUCGAAUCUUUGAAUGCACAUUGCGCCCCCUGGUAUUCCGGGGGGCAUGCCUGUUCGAGCGUCAUUUCACCACUCAAGCCUCGCUUGGUAUUGGGCAACGCGGUCCGCCGCGUGCCUCAAAUCGACCGGCUGGGUCUUCUGUCCCCUAAGCGUUGUGGAAACUAUUCGCUAAAGGGUGCUCGGGAGGCUACGCCGUAAAACAAACCCAUUUCUAAGGUUGACCUCGGAUCAGGUAGGGAUACCCGCUGAACUUAAGCAUAUCAAUAAGCGGAGGA